rnacentral:rRNA from 1 species
AGAGUUUGAUCCUGGCUCAGGAUGAACGCUAGCGGCAGGCUUAACACAUGCAAGUCGAGGGGUAGAGGAAGCUUGCUUCCUUGAGACCGGCGCACGGGUGCGUAACGCGUAUGCAAUCUACCUUAUACAGGGGGAUAGCCCAGAGAAAUUUGGAUUAAUACCCCAUAGUAUAAUUGAAUGGCAUCAUUUAAUUAUUAAAGUUCCAACGGUAUAAGAUGAGCAUGCGUCCCAUUAGCUAGUUGGUGUGGUAACGGCACACCAAGGCGACGAUGGUAGGGGUCCUGAGAGGAGAUCCCCCACACUGGUACUGAGACACGGACCAGACUCCUACGGGAGGCAGCAGUGAGGAAUAUUGGUCAAUGGGCGCAAGCCUGAACCAGCCAUGCCGCGUGCAGGAUGACGGUCCUAUGGAUUGUAAACUGCUUUUGUACAGGAAGAAACACUCCCUCGUGAGGGAGCUUGACGGUACUGUAAGAAUAAGGAUCGGCUAACUCCGUG